rnacentral:misc_RNA from 1 species
AACGCACCUUGCGCCCUUUGGCUAUUCCGAAGGGCAUGCCUGUUUGAGUAUCAUGAACACCUCAACUCUCACGGUCCGCCGUGAUGAGCUUGGACUUUGGGGGUCUUGCCGGCCCAGCGUCGGCUCCUCUCAAACGGAUCAGCUUGCCAGUGUUUGGUGGCGUCACGGGUGUGAUAACUAUCUACGCUUGUGGUUUUCCGCCAUGCAACCUUCAGCGAUGGAGGUUCGCUGGAGCUCACAGAUGUCUCUCCUUCGUGAGGACGGCUUUUGAACGUUUGAUCUCAAAUCAGGUAGGACUACCCGCUGAACUUAA